GGGGCUGUAGCUCAGUGGUAGAGUGCCUGCCUUUCACGUGCAAGGUACUGGGUUCAAUCCUCAGCACCA
rnacentral:tRNA from 1 species